GAUUCCCGUACGAUCACCGAAGUUAAGCAACGUAGAGCCUGAUCGCUACCUAGAUGGGCAAACGCUUGUGAAUACCAGGUGCUGUAAU